rnacentral:rRNA from 1 species
CAGUAGCCACGGUAAUACGAAGGUCCCGAGCGUUGUUCGGAAUCACUGGGCGUAAAGGGAGCGUAGGCGGCGUGGUAAGUCAGAUGUGAAAUCCCGGGGCUCAACCCCGGAACUGCAUCCGAUACUGCCGUGCUAGAGGAUUGGAGAGGUAGCUGGAAUUCUUGGUGCAGCAGUGAAAUGCGUGGAGAUCAAGAGGAACACUCGUGGCGAAAGCGAGCUACUGGACAAUAUCUGACGCUGAGGCUCGAAGGCCAGGGUAGCGAAAGGGAUUAGAUACCCCCGUAGUCCCUGUCUCUUAUAC